GGGUUUGGGGUGAGCCGCCAUUCCCCGGACCAGUAUUCAGAACGCACAGGGAGAGGAGGUAGCGGAACCUUUGUCCUCCGCCUCACUCUCGCUUCCACCCGGACUCAGUUGGCGUCGGACGCAAUUGCGGAGGCCUAGAAACAUGGAGGCGGCGGGUGCUGGGGCUGGGCAGCCGUCCUCUCGUCUGGAGGCUCCGGAAUCUACAGACGAUCGGCUUUUCCUGAUUAAAGGUGGAGUUUUCCUUGGUACUGUUGCUGCAGCAGGAAUGGUAGCCGGAUUUGUUACAACAUUAUCAUUGGCUAAAAAGAAAAGCCCUGAAUGGUUCAAUAAGGGAAGUAUGGCCACGGCUGCCUUACCGGAGAGCGGGUCUAUCCUUGCCUUGAGAGCCUUGGGUUGGGGCUCACUUUAUGCGUGGUGUGGUGUUGGUGUGAUCAGCUUCGCAGUCUGGAAAGCUUUAGGAGUACACAGUUUCUGCUUCUUAGCGGUGCUGCGAGACACAGCCUGGCUCCUCUCGUGGCCCCACCUCCACUGGCCUUUUGCCCAGCGCCCUGGAAGUUUCCCGGCCUCUCCUUCCCUUCCCGCGAACGUCUCCUCCGCGCAGCGGCUGGCAGCUGGGGAUACUCGGAAGGUCUAAGUCGGAUCGCGUCACUCCUCUGAAAAACCCUGCAGCGGCUCCCGCUGAAGAGGUCGGCGGUCGCGCCCUGCCCCCUGCUCCCGGCUCCUCCGCAACCGCCACGGCCACCGCCCCCACGCGCUGCGCCGCACGAGCCUCUCCCCUUGGGCCCCUUCCUCCAGCCGGGCCUGGACCCUCCCUCCCCAGCACGAUUGCAGAAGGAAGUUCUCUUGACCAUUUUCUUGUCUCAGCUGUCCUCACAAAAACAACGUCAAUUUUGAGAAUAGAGACCUCAUUUGAUUUGUUCACUGUUGUAUUCUCAGCACCUGUAACAGUGCCUAGCACAGAGGGUGCCCCCGCUGGCACACAGUUUCUGCCAUGUCAGUGGCUCGCUGUUCCCUUGAGAAUAAAAUCCACGUUCCCUGAGAUGGUUUGGCCCCUCCGUGAUCUGGCCCCUACUUCUUUAACCCGUUGGUUCUUAAUGGGGUCCGUUUUGUCUUCCCCGCCCUGCCGAAGAAAGAUAUUUGACAGUAUCUGGAGACAUUUUUGGUUGUCCUAACUGGGGGAGCUACUGGCAGCUAGUGGAUGGAGGCCGGGGAUGCGGUUCCCCAUCCAGCGCUGCACCAGCAGGCCCCACAGAGCGAUCUGGUGCCCGUGUCACUAGUGCUGCGGUUGAGAGUGGCCCUUUCUCUCUGUUUCGCCCAGAGCUCGAGCCAGGCUGAGAGGCCUUGUUCUUCCUGGCCUCUGAGCCCUGUCCCUGCUGAUCUCCCUGCUGAGCACCCCUCGCUCUUCCUACUGUUCCUGAUGCUGGCUCUGGUCCUUGCCCGAUUGGAGUCUUGAGGCAAACUAAUCUUUAAACUUCACAACAGGGAGUUCAUCCAUUUGGGCAGUUUUGAAAUUAUAAAGGUAACUUCUACCAUUAGGUAAAUUUAAGUUUGUACCUAAAUUGAAGAUAACUUGCAUAUACAAACAUUCUUCAUAUCGGGUUUUUUUUUUUUUUUUUUUUUUUUUUUUUAUGAUGAAUAGAACUGUUAUCCAGGACUGUGGUAUUAUUUAUAUGAAUCCAAUCACAGAGAAUACUUGGAGUGAAUUAAUAAGACCACACCUAUUCAGUUAGAGCCUAUAGCCAUAAAAUUAAAUUUUGUCAGUUUUUAGCUACAGUUUGGGAUGUUUAAACACAUACCAGUGAAUUUCAAUUGCCUUGUUUUCAUGUUUUGUCCUACAUUAAAAUAUUUCCUUUUUUUCCUUUU